UUAAUCAAGCCAAUGAUUUUGCUACUAUCACAUCAUUGGCUCAUAAUAUAUCCCAUGAAUUAAGGGAAAAUCUCAUUAAUUCCAACAGUAGCAAUCAGAUAUCUGGUUCUCGUCAUUUAUUUUUCUUUUUGAGACGGAUGUGAUAGAAUUUUGUUAGACGAAAAUUACAAAGUAAUACGAUGUGGAAUAACUAAGUGACCAAGCUAAACAUUAUUUCACAAAUUUGUUACUAAAACUUAAGUUUUUAUUGUUAUGAGUAGGAUCCAUUCAAGAUAAUUGUAUCCUUUAAUUAUAAUCCCUUGUUUCAAAGGAAAGCCCUUUAAUACUAAUUAAGGUUUUAUGCUUUAGGUUUUUUUGAGAUAUUAGGAAUUUGGGUUGGUUUUGAAAAUUGAAGGUUGGAGCUACACUUGGGGGAAUGGUUGAAAGUUGAAACAGCCAAGCUGCAUUGUACCCUUAUGGGGAUCAAGCCAUUCAUAGUUCAAAAGAAACACUCCAGUUAUUUUAGUUAGCCUUUUUAGGUUAAUUAAAUUAUCCCUGAAAGAAAAUUUAACUAACAUUGAGAUUAACUAAUUUAGGUUGAAUGUUAAAAAUUUUGAUGUUUGUCAAUGUUUGAGUUGAUUUGAUUCAUUGAGCCAAGAAAUAUUUGGAGUUGAUUUCAUUUGUGA
rnacentral:misc_RNA from 1 species